UACAGAGGGUGCGAGCGUUAAUCGGAAUUACUGGGCGUAAAGCGUGCGUAGACGGUUUCGUAAGUCGGGUGUGAAAUCCCCGGGCUCAACCUGGGAAUUGCAUUCGAAACUGCGAGGCUAGGGUACGGAAGAGGGAAGCGGAAUUUCUGGUGUAGCGGUGAAAUGCGUAGAUAUCAGAAGGAACAUCAGUGGCGAAAGCGGCUUCCUGGUCCAGUACCGACGUUCAGGCACGAAAGCGUGGGGAGCAAACAGG
rnacentral:rRNA from 2 species